GAUGAACGCUGGCGGCGUGCCUAAUACAUGCAAGUCGAGCGAACGGACGAGAAGCUUGCUUUUCUGAUGUUAGCGGCUGACGGGUGAGUAACACGUGGAUAACCUACCUAUAAGACUGGGAUAACUUCGGGAAACCGGAGCUAAUACCGGAUAAUAUUUUGAACCGCAUGGUUCAAAAGUGAAAGACGGUCUUGCUGUCACUUAUAGAUGGAUCCGCGCUGCAUUAGCUAGUUGGUAAGGUAACGGCUUACCAAGGCAACGAUGCAUAGCCGACCUGAGAGGGUGAUCGGCCACACUGGAACUGAGACACGGUCCAGACUCCUACGGGAGGCAGCAGUAGGGAAUCUUACGCAAUGGGCGAAAGCCUGACGGAGCAACGCCGCGUGAGUGAUGAAGGUCUUCGGAUCGUAAAACUCUGUUAUUAGGGAAGAACAUAUGUGUAAGUAACUGUGCACAUCUUGACGGUACCUAAUCAGAAAGCCACGGCUAACUACGUG
rnacentral:rRNA from 1 species